rnacentral:sRNA from 1 species
ACUCCAGCUCCUAUGCAGCGGCUGGGCAGAUGGACCUGCGGUGUGGGGCCACAAGGCCCGAGAGGCCUGGGCCUCUCCCAGCCACCGUGGACCCUCUGGCAGCUUGAGCAGUGUCUGAAACCAGCCCCAAAAUCUUCCCACUGACUCUGGGGAGCAGCGAGCCUGCCGGAUAUGUGGUCAUCGCCUGCCUGGUCCGGGACUUCUUCCCGUCAGAGCCCCUGACAGUAACCUGGAGCCCUAGU